GCUGCGGCGGCUCGUGGCGUGCGUGCGCGUGUCCGUGCCCGUGCCCGCCGGGGCGGGGCGCCCUGUGCGCGCGGGCCGUGACGUGGCAGCGGCGCGAUGUUGCGGGCGCUGCUGCGGGCGCUGCUGCUGGCGGCGCUGGCGGCGGGCGGCCCGGGGCCCCCCCGGCUCCGCGGGGCCGAGCUGCGGGACCUGGCCCGGGGCAAGGUGGAGACCUGCGGCGGGUGACGGCUGAACCGCCUGAGGGAGGUGAAGGCCUUCGUCACCCAGGACAUCCCCCUCUACCAUAACCUGGAGAUGAAGCACCUGCCUGGUGCUGACCCCGAGCUUGUUCUUCUCAGCCACCGAUACGAGGAGCUGGAGAGAAUCCCCCUGAGUGACAUGACCCGGGAGGAGAUCAACCAGCUGGUGCAGGAACUGGGCUUCUACCGCAAGGAGACACCUGAUGCCCCUGUGCCUGAGGAGUUCCAGUUUGCCCCUGCCAGGCCUCUGCCCGCCCUGCUGCCCCACCAAGCUCCCGCUGCUGAUGGCGAGACUCCCCCUGAACGUGAUGAGGGAGAACACCCAGAGCUGUAGUGGGGGGUGUUGUGCUCGGGAGGAGGCCCUGCAGACACUCCCCAGCGCGUGGGGAUGAGGGCAUUACAGCAGCUGGGAACAGUGCUGCGGGGUGGUGAAGGUGCCUCUGCUGUUGCUCAGUGCCGUGUAUUCUCUGCCCCAGGAAUGCCCUGAGCAGCUCUAGCCUUGAGUAGGGGCCUUCUAGGCAUUGUGGACAUCCCAGGGGUCCUGGGUGCCUCUCGUUGCCUUCCCUCCCCUGCAGCCUGGCACCCCUCGCCGGUCAGGAGGAACAGCGUUCUUCCUGCUCCCUCGCCAUGCCCCAAGGUUUCGCUGGCUCCCAGUGCUGUGCAGCAGCAUCCUACCUGCGCGGGACAGGAUGAAGCCCUCAGCAGAAAGUGCCAGGGAGGGGUCAGUGGGGCGCAUCCCGCACUGCUCUGUACUCGAUGCCAGGAGGAGCUGGGUACCCCAGAGCCACUUGCAGAGGUAGGAGGAGAUGUCAGGGUCACAACCACUGCUAGCAAGCUGACAGACCAUCCCACAGACAAACCAUGCUGUUCCUGGGCCACCGCCUCUGCGGUGCAACGGACAGAUGGAUGAGGCACCACAGCUUGGGCCAAGCUGCUCACAGGCUGCACAGGUAUGGGUGUGACCCCGCAAGUGGGUCCUGCAGUGCUGAGCCAAAGCUCAAUGGCUGCGCUGGCUCCAGGGGACAUCUGGUCCUUGUCUGGGAAGGGAGCAGAGCACAGCUGCACUGUCUGCAGACCUGCCUGCACACAGUCUUGGUGGCAGCAUGGGGUCUUCUCCCCAUACCAGACCUGAGGGUGGUGGGGGGCAGCAAACCAGCUGGUCAGGGUGGGAUGCUGAUGGUGCCCCUUGGCUCUGGGUGUUGUCCCUGAGCAAGAGGAGCAGCACGUGCCCCACAUCUCCCCCCCGGGCCAGGUGAGCAGUAGGCCUGCGGACAGGGCUGCCAGCGCUCUCCUGGGCACUGCAGCAAAUGCUGCACUGGUGGCACAAAGCAGCAGUGUGGCUGGGGAGAAGGACCCAAGGCAAAGGCGUCACCCUAUAGAAUAAACCUUUAUUGUCUG